UUUAUUUUUUAAUUGAAGAAUGAUCUUCAAAUUAUGUUAUACUGCUACAUUCAUUUGCUCAAGCAGCUCGUUAUAUGUCAGACCCGUAAAAAUCAUUUAAUAAGUUAAGAAAAUUAGGGCCAGCACUGUGGAAGCCCAAAAUAAUCUCAAAUAUACCGACCGGACAUUCCUCCUUCAAUUGUACUGCAAGCUUUAAUCUCCCUGCAAAAUUAAUUUAUUUUCCCUACAAUAUUACCACUAAUUAACUUUAUUCAUACAGUGUUCUUCAAAUCAUCUGAUUUGCCCCAAAUUUUCUUCCUCAGUAGCCUUUCUUCACUUUUUCGGCUCGGCUCGCCGGUGGUUGUCCCAAAAGAAGCCUGUUUCAAGAUCAGUGAAAGUCAAUCUUUAAUUUAUGCGUUUAACGGUGCCGUCUUUAAUCCGCCGUGUCUUGAUAAGUGCUUCACUUUCUAUCGAUCUCUGCCUGCGCUGAAAGACAACGAAGUUCAGAGAAAAAGAUUCUAUUGGCUGUAAUAACAAGUCUAGCAAUAAAAAGCAAGUUGAAACUUCAAAGAAUGACAAGAAAUAAGAAAACGAUGAUGACAAAAAUGUAAUGCUAACACCUAACUUGUUUUAUUUUAAGUUCCAUCAUAUUCAACACCUAAAUAUAUAUCGUGUUAGAGUACUUACAUUUUGGUCUUGUUUUGUGAGUUUGGCUUUUGGCAUGAGACUCUUGGCAUGAAGCUUUGACAAAAGAAAUGGAAGUGCUAUGGAGGUGGAUUAAUGAAAAAUUAAAGCAUGUGGAGAUGAUCUUAGCAAACGAAUUAGUUCUUUCAAAGCUGAUUUUGUAUUUUAUUUAUAAUUUUAAUCUAAUAAGAUUAUUAAAAUAAAUUACUAUUUGAACAAAAUAUAUUGAUAUAAUUGCAUUUAACUCCGCUUCUAUUUCAA